UAAGGUUGUCUCUGCUUGAUAGGGUUCCUCCUUAUUACAUCAUAAACCAUUCUCUGCCUCAUUUCCCCAUUACAAAACCUAAAUCUCCUUCUCUCUUCUCUCUUCUUCUAAAGAGAGAGAGAGAGAUUAUGAUAUAAGAGUCUCACCGUCGGGCUCGGAUUCGCUUGGUGCAGGUCGGGAACCAAUUCGGCUGACACAGCCUCGUGACUUUAAAACCUUUAUUGGUUUGUGAGCAGGGAUUGGAUCCCGCCUUGCAUCAACUGAAUCGGAUCCCCGAGGUGUAAGAAAACUCGUGAAUCCAAUUAGAUCUAGAAGAAAUCUACUCUUCUCCUUCUUUAUCUUCGUUUUCUUAUGAUUUUUUAUUUUUGAUCUAACCUAGAAAAAGGUUUUAUAUCUUUGAAUCUUAAAUUGUUUGGUUUGAGAUAUUUGAUAUUGAUUUUACCCUGUUUUUGUAUAUUGAAUCUUCUCAAUCUCUGUUUUUUUUUGCCCAAAUGUUGAAUCUUUGAUUUAGUUUUGAUUUUAUAGACCAUUGAUAUUACAUAUGUUUUGAAAAGUUAGAAGUUGUUUGAUGUUUGAGGACUUUUGAAUUUAAGAUCUAGGGGUUGAUAUGUUAGAGAUUGUUGAUGUGAUUAGUUCUAGAUUCGUACAAUCUUAUGAAGAUUUGAUUUAAAGAGAAGAGAUGAUGAUUGGUUUUAUUGUGGAUAGUUUCGACGAUGAGAUUCAAAGUUUGACGAUUUUAAUUCGUCGUACAAAAGAUGACAAUGAUCAUGUUAGUUAUGCAAAGAGAUGAAGUGAGGAAUUAUUGGAGGCAUGUGAAGUGAAGAUAUUUUUUUUUGUUGAAUGUUCAAUUUCUAAAAAUCUAUUUUUCCAUUUUUGGAUAUGUAAUGUUCAGAAUUGUUAAAGAUAAAAAAUGGUGUGGAAGUAAAGAAACAGAACCAAUUCGAUUAGUACCGUUAGUGCAGAAUAAAUGCAAGUAAUGAUGGUACUCAUGGUAGUGGAAAACAAACGUAACAAAACAACAAAGUUUAAAUGUAACUUAUAAAGUUAGUUGGUUGUUUGGUGAUUAUAUAUUUAAUACCUAAAUUGGUUGGUUG